GCAUCGAUGAAGAACGCAGCGAACUGCGAUACGUAAUGCGAAUUGCAGGAUUCAGUGAGUCAUCGAAAUUUUGAACGCAUAUUGCACUUCCGGGUUAGUCCUGGGAGUAUGCCUGUAUCAGUGUCCGUACAUCAAACUUGGCUUUCUUCCUUCCGUGUAGUCGGUGGAGGAUGUGCCAGAUGUGAAGUGUCUUGCGGUUUGUGUGCCUUCGGGCCGAGGCUGCCGAGUCCUUUGAAAUGUACUGAACUAGUGACUUCUCUUUGCUCGAAAAGCGUGGUGUUGCUGGUUGUGGAGGCUGCCUGCGUGGUCCCAGUCGGCGACCGGUUUGUCUGCUGCGAGCGUUUAAUGGAGGAGUGUUCGAUUCGCGGUAUGGUUGGCUUCGGCUGAACAGACGCUUAUUGUAUGCUUUUCCUGCUGUGGCGUGAUGGGCAUGGUGAACCGUAUGCUGUGUGUGGCUUGGCUUUUGAAUCGGUUUUGCUGUUGCGAAGUAGAGUGGCGGCUUCGGCUGUCGAGUGUCGAUCCAUUUUGGGAACUUUUGUGUGCGCUUUCGAGUGUGCAUCUCAAUUGGACCUGAUAUCAGGCAAGAUUACCCGCUGAACUUAAGCAUAUCAAUAAGCGGAGGA
rnacentral:rRNA from 1 species